rnacentral:misc_RNA from 1 species
GCUAGCUGGCCAGCUAGCUCCGCGCGACGACGCCGCGCGCAUAUAUAUGUACGUAUAGUACGUGUGCAACGUCAUAGUAGUAGUUAGCUUUGGUUGCUGCGCCGUAGCUGUGCAGUGGGCCUACAAUUAUUGUACAAAAGUAUUCACUCAGAUUACGUCUGUUGCCUAACGUGCUUUCGAUGUCACGUACAGCGUGAAGAUUUCCAAAAUCAGAGAAUUUGGUUGAGCCAUGAAAGGCUGAGUGCACUGUUUGCCAGGAUGCAGUAGCUGCUAUUGAUGCAACAGGCCAAUGCAAAGAACCUACGCUACGUUGAAAAAAAAGGCAGUCAACAAGCCAAUGGAUGGCAUCAUUAUGGGAGAACCAUCGACUCGUUAGAUGUUGUUUCAAGACAAACAUUUGCUGGAACUCUCGGACCAAUGCUUGCAUGAAACUUGGCACAACCCAUCAAGCCAUUUUUUCCGAUAGCGCAUAAACACCUAGAUCAAACAGGGAGAUUGAUAAUGGCCCUUCUGAGUCAACACUAUGGUGGCAGGGUACCGGGGAUGAUUAAGGCACACAGCUCGGUGCCGAGCACUCGCAGAAAAGCCGACAGCAUCCCCACCAGCACGAUGAGCGCCGGUGGGUGUGAAGUCACGUUGGAUGGCAUUCCCAUCCUCCCAGAGAACUCGGACCGCGGCCAGGGCUGCAACCACGUCAUCUAUCACUAUGCCAGCCAGGUGUUUGGGAGUUUGCGGCCGGCCAAGAAGACAGACAAACUGUUACUGGAUGUGGAUCUUAGGUCAGGGAAGGAGCCACCAAAGCUGACAGCAAUCAAGGAUGAAAGGGCCAAGAGGAAAGUGUACGAUUUGGCAUUUGAUGCUCUAAAAUAUCAAGCCUUAUUGGAGGAUAUGCUAGUGGACAGUGGUUACUACAGCUAUGACACAGUGCCAGAUGAGAAUCAUAGCAUUAUCGUGGUCAUCCUGUGCGACAUGCUUAACCGCCACUUUGCCAAGCGCCUGCGGGAACCCAAUGAGCCCGUCAUUCCCUACGUCCAGGAAUUCGAGGACGACCUGUUUGCGCACACCACCAAGCUGAAUGCCUCAUUGGCCCGGAAUCGGAUCAAAUUCCAGGCGCGGAGCGUGGAAUGUCUGUUGCCAGAGAAAGUCCGCCAGAGGGAGGAAUGUGGAACUAAGAUGCCAAUCUAUGCAUGGGUUAAUCAGCUACAAAACAGUGUGGAAGACGUGAUUGAGCAACUAACCCAAGAUGGCUACAAGAAGGUCCCUUCUAUCAACUCGCUGGGAGAGUACAGCUUCACCGUGGACUCCCAGUGCCCCAAUGUUCUGGUCUUUGAUGCUCAGAACAGAAACACACUGGAGGAUAGUUAUCUGGUCAGAGGGGGCAACCUGGUUAUUCAGGAUAAGAGCUGCUGUCUGGGACCUCACUCAGUCAAAGCCCUCCUGAACGAAGGGGAUGAUGUCAUCCACAUUUACACCGGUUCUGGGUGGACGACGGCCCAUCUGGCGACGCUGACCAAUCAAGAACAUUGCACAAUCUACGCCUUCGGAGUCAAGAACGAGGAGCACAGCGAACAACUUAUGGCCAAUGCUAAGAAACUUGGCAUACACAAUGUAAAAUUCAUUCAGGACAACUUCUUUGAGGUGCAACAUAUUGACAACCGCUUCAAGAAUGUCAAAGUGGUACUGGUCACCCCUCACGAUUCCAGGUCAGGGGUCACGAACCCUGUGGAAUACAUUAUUCAUGAGGGAGCAGAUGCAAGUAUAUUGGGAGAGCUGUCCCAGGAGCAAAUAGACAGUGACAAACUUGAUGUCCUGGUGUCUAAACACAUGGAACUGCUCAAGCAUGCCAUGAAAUUUCCACACGUCCAAGCGGUGGUCUAUGCCACUAACUCAAUCUUCCGGGAAGAAAACGAGAAUGUGGUCACCAAGGUAACGGAGUACAUCAACGCUCGUACUUCUACAUCGAUCAGGAACCCCUUUCGUCUCAUCCCCCCUGUCCUGCCUCUCACCCCAGCUGAGCUGGAAAAGCAGCCAUCCUCCAAAUUUAUCAAGAUGGAGCCAUCAAGUUCAAUGGGCGGAUGCUUUCUCUCCGUCAUGAGUCGUGAGGAUGAGUCCAUGAGUGCAUCUGAUGUCAUUGCCCGGGCAGCAGCCAAGGGUCUCUGUUCCCUCCCCCCUGCCAAGGCAACGGCAACAACGACAUCAGCCCAAGGGGAUGAGCUCAAGCCCAAGAAGAAGUCUUCAAAGACCUCCCAGAAGUCGCUGACCAAAAGUGCCUCAGCCAAGAAGGAGAGGAAGGGGCCCAAGACGUCCAAGAGCCCUACGGCAGACCACCACGGCCACGGGCCAACAGUCAGGAGCCCCACCCUGCUGGUGAAGAAGCCGAGCAGCAAGCGGCUGCGGCCCAUCAGAACUGCAAAAAAGGAUAGCCAGAAGGGCCAGCGGACGUCCGCCACAAGACUCAGCAAGAUUCGUGGGCGGAGCUGAGCGCCAAGCAUGCAUUACUGAUGAGGGCGACCCCCAGAUAGUGGCUGUGGGGGGUUGACCUCAAACCCUCUUUUUUUUGUGUGUGUGUGCAUGCUGUUGUUAUAUCGUCUGAUGUUUGCCCACCACUUUACAAACUCCUCCACCUCUGACAGGCAACCCUAUGGUGUCCCCAUGACCAAAGCAUCCUUAGUGCGAA